rnacentral:rRNA from 1 species
UAGGGAAUCUUCCGCAAUGGACGCAAGUCUGACGGAGCAACGCCGCGUGAGUGAAGAAGGAUUUCGGUUCGUAAAACUCUGUUGUUAGAGAAGAACAGCGCAUAGAGUAACUGUUAUGCGUGUGACGGUAUCUAACCAGAAAGCCACGGCUAACUACGUGCCAGCAGCCGCGGUAAUACGUAGGUGGCAAGCGUUGUCCGGAUUUAUUGGGCGUAAAGCGAGCGCAGGCGGUCAAUUAAGUCUGAUGUGAAAGCCCCCGGCUCAACCGGGGAGGGUCAUUGGAAACUGGUUGACUUGAGUGCAGAAGAGGAGAGUGGAAUUCCAUGUGGAGCGGUGAAAUGCGUAGAUAUAUGGGGGAACACCAGUGGAGAAGGCGACUCUCUGGUCUGUAACUGACGCUGAGGUUCGAAAGCGUGGGUAGCAAACAGG